rnacentral:lncRNA from 10 species
GUUCUGGCUUCUACCUUGAUUGGGACAGACUCAAAAUAUGGAAAAUUCUCCAGUUUGGGAAUUGCGUGCAAAAGAUGCAGGGGGGGCCAGAUAUUUGCUGUGGGGAGGAUCGAGUGGAAGCAACUGGGUGGAGUUUAUUCUCAAGCCUGAGGCAGCUGCCAGAAAAACAGGACUGAAGGGCACCAGGCUGCGUGAGGACCCCGGUGCCAGGCUGGGUUUAGGGUGCAGUGGAUGGGGCUGAGCCCCUCUCCCAUCCAUAAGUCCUGCCUGGAUGCCAGCUCCCACCCUGGGGCCAUGGCUCCAAGACCACCUUGAAUAAUCCAUGUGCCUGCAGCCCUACCUACCCUGCAUUAAAUCAUCCACUCCUCAUCACCAGGAACCAGGACCAGAUGGGGAAACUGAGACCCAAAAUGAAGGGCGCAGUCGCCGAGUCAGCCAGUGACAGAGCUGGGGCUUCACUCCCGCUUCUCGAUUCUCAGCUCCCAUCCUCGUCCCUCUGCCUUUUAUGGAGCAGCAUGGAAGGAAUCAAAAACAGGCAGAGAACUUCAGGGGCCACUCUGGGCUGCUGUGAGUGAAGACUAGAGUUUGUGGGUGCAGUGCCUCCGGCUGCAGCUCUCCAGGCCCACACAGACCUGCUCCUGACACUCCUGGGGGUGCGCUGCCUGGGGGUCUUCCCUCCCCAGCCCUUCCCCAAGGUACAGUGAGUGCCUCAGGUCCUCCAGCUGCCCCUCUCCCAGUGGGAACUCACACUAGACAUGCGAGGGCAGUCAAGGAGAGCGCUUUCCUCGCUCGAGGAUAUGGGAGAGCUUUCCACCCUCCUCCUCAGGCCCCGGAGGCAGCGAGUGUGCCUGUCAGGGUUAUCAGGGUGCUCUGGGAAGGGCUCCACCUCCCCCGCAGGCUUCGCCAGAAUGCCCAACUGGGCUGCUCUCACUGCCUUUGACCUUCAGAACUCCCAAAAUACUCCCACCUCCUCCAGGAAGAAGGCGGGGUAGUGGGGGCUUUGGAGACCAAUAAGCCAGGGCCUGACUCCUAACUGGCCACCUAAUAGCUUUGUGACCUUGAGCAAGUGCCCUGGUCUUCCUGAGGGCGUGUUCUCAAGCUUCUCCGUUGUGUGGUUUUAGUGAGGGCUGGAGAUGGCGACACGUAGUAGACUCUCAAUUCAUGGUGGCUCUUAUUAUUAAAGCUGGCCAGGAUGUCCCUUCUGACCCCCAACCCUCCAGUUCCCAUAGUGCUGGGCCUUGUAACUGUCACUGUCCUGUGUAUGGGGUCAGGCUCUGGCCUCCCUCCCUCGCAACCCCUUCGGGGCAGGGUGAGAGUAAACAGGUCCCCUAGGUGUGGGACAGACGCCCGCUGCCCUCCUCCUGCCUUAUUCAUUCUCUCCAAAAACAUUAAUCACUGGUGGAUGGACAAACUGUAGGGCACCCGUAUGAUGGAAUGACCCCAGCAAUAAGGAAGAACAAAAUAGUAAUACAAUGAAUGACAUGGAUGACUCUCAAGGCACUGCGCUGAAGUUCAGCAGUUAAAUGAAAGCCGCCUAACUCAAAAGGCUGCAGACUCCGCCGCUCCCUGCGUCUGAACUCCAGGGAGGGCCACGCUGCAGCCAGAAAGCAGGUCAGGGCUUGCCUGAGGUGGGAUGUGGGAGCGGGGAUUGAUUGCAAUGGGGAAUGAGGGAAUUUUAUGGGGGGAUAAAAAAAAUCAAUGUUUCAUUUGAUGGUAGGUAGGUGGCUAUUUCCAUUUGGCAGAGCUUAUCAAACUGUAUGCGUAAAACAAGCAAAUUCUACAGUAUGCAAACUACACCAUAACGAAGCUGGCAGAGUAAAGACCUUCCAGUUUGGAAACUAUGAUCUGGGAAGUGACCCAUAUUGCCUGGCCAGAUACACGAGGGAAGAGUCAUCUCCCUAGGAAACGCUUAAGAAAGGCUCAGUCCUUAAAAGAAAUAAGAAACUGAGUGACCAGAAAAAAUGAGGGAGAAUUUGAAGAAAUACAGUACCAGGGCAUCAUAGAAGAGCUGGCUUUAAAUAGACUACAGAUAGUGCACUCAAGUCUUAGUGCAUUUGUACGCUGCCUGAAUUACCUGACCUUGGUCCCUUAUCUGAUAUCCUCAUCCCCCCGGGCUCUACCUGAAAAAAAAGCUCACACGCAUCUUUCAUAAAUAAUAAGAAGCUAUCCUUUAAUGAGAUGAUAUUUUAUCUCUCCUGGCCCAGGACGGGGAAGGCGCCCGGCCCCUCUUGAGUCACCAGGCUCUUAUGCAGUGGAGUUUCUCUCCUCUGCUUGCUUCCAGAGCCUUCUGCAGGCUACCAAGACAAAGCUUUCUCCCAUUCCUCUGGGCCCGGUCCUUCUGCUCUCUGCUGCUGCCCUCUCUGUCCCCAUUCCUCCUCUGCCUCUGGAAUGAUAGCAUCUCCCAGUGGCUUUCAUGUUGGAGUGCUGGCUCCUUAACUUAAGGUCAGCUUCUGAGGGCAGAAGGCUUGUCCCAUUUUCUCUCCUUCCCUCUGCCCUCUCCUUUGGAAUAAACGCACACAUUCACCAAUGCAGCCAUUGACUGUGUGGCUCGCCCACACUGUUCAGGAGAGAGGCCCAGCUCCAUCUAGCUUGAGCCCAAAGGAAAUUUAUUGGGCCACAUUCCUGAGAAGUCCAGGACGUGUCAGCUAGGUUGAGACACAGCUGGAUUCAGGAUUGACAAUCUCUUUUCCUGUCUCACUCUCUGUCUGCCUCUGUCUCAAUGUCUUCUUCCCUUCCUCUCCUCCCUUCCCCUUCUUCUCCCUAAUAUCUUUCUCUCUCUAAGUAAGUAUCCCCUGAGUAUACUUCCUCACUCCUCCUUAAGCCCGAAAACAAAAGAACAAGACACAAUAAAUCCCUCAUGUAAAUGGUCAUCCCUGACCUGGGGAAGUCCAAGAUAUCAAAAGCACAGCCUAUUAUUUUAUCUAUUCUUUCUAGUUGUGUAUAUAGCUGACUUUUCUGCUAGACUUUCCUUGUGUCCUCAAGGUGCCUGGCACAGGCCCAGGUACAUGGCAGCCCCCAGCCCCACCCCAGAUAGGAUGUGACACUUGGUUGGGGUGAGGUCAGAGUGGGAAAGGGAAGAAUCAGAUGAGGAAGCCGGCCCUGGAGAAGAAGAGGGACUUCGUGUACACACAGCUAGCUGUGGCCAAGCCAGACCAUAACUGAGGUGUGUCAGCCCGGAGCCCGGUGCCCUCCAGGAAGAGGGGUCAGCAAAGGGAUGCUGGCAUUGGUGCAUCUCCCCUGCUUUGGUCCUGGAAAUCAAUCUCCAGAUUCCGCCGGGUCCAGGGCUGCCCCAUAGGUGCUGAGGCACUGGAGACAACAGGAGGUCUGGGAUGGCCCCCAGCCCCUCCCUCUACCCAAAUCGGGGCAUGGCUAAUUCUUUCUCUAAGAGAUCCAUUGCUUUAAAGUCCAGAGUAGAAGGGAAGAAACAGGUGUCAAUUUCUGCCAGGAAAAUGAGAUCGAGCUGCAACCUCAGAGAAGCCUGGAGGGGUACUGUUAACGGGAACCCUCUGAGGCUCUGGGGCUGAAAAGAAAAUCAAGGAGGAACAAGCAAUCAAGGUUUUCAUGGAAGCCUUGGGCUUCAGAAAUAAGGCAUCCCUGGAACGUGGUUUCUAAAGCAUCACCUGAGAACUUGGGAGAAAUAAAAAAUGCAAAUCCUCAGGCCCCACCUGAGACCUACCAAAUCACACACUUUGUUUUGGGAUCCCUCAAGCCCUCCAGAUGAUUCUGAUGCAUGCUCAAAUUUGAACACCACUGCCAUAAAGGACAACCAAAGCAGUAAGCAGGUCUCAUAGCUGGUCAGCCCUGUUGGUCCUGGCCUGUGGUGGGUUCGCUGAGGCUCCACAGCCCGCUCUGCUUACCCAUGUUAUGGACCCCUCCCAGCCAAAACAGGCAGGAUUUCUGCAGGCAGCUUAUUCCAGAAGGGCUUGGAAUGAGCCUUGUGGCCCAAGAUGUGCUCUGGGAACAUGGAGAGCCUCAAAGUCACCCACCCCUUCCAUUUGCCUCUGCCCAUACAAAAGGAAUUCUGCCUCAGUUUCCCUGCUUUUCAUUCCAACCCACCACUGGCCUUAGAACUCUGCCCUGGACCUCAGCCUGCUUCCCUGGGCACUGUUACCAUGCCAUGCAUGGUGGCUGGCCUCCUCACCGAGGUCUCAUCCUGCUCCUGUACCCCAGCUGCUGACUGAGGUGAUUUGCAGACUGACAACACAUUUAUUACUGUGCUGUGGCUGCCCUGGGCCCCCAGGUACAUGUGUGUGGAUUGUCUACUGAACAAGGGCAGAUGGCCAAGGAAGCAAGUGGAGGAAUGAAAUCCAGCUCACUUUCCACUCACCCACAUCCCCUAGGGCGAGGUGGCACUAAUUUGCAGGUAUGCAUUAGAGGGUCUAGUGCUUGAAUGUCACACUCCCUUUCCCGAAGCUCCUGUUUCUGAGGUGACCCUCCCCUCCCCCUGCCUUCCCAUUUCUACACCAGCCAGACCUCCCUAUCUCUUCAUGUCUACACCAACUGGACACCCACCCUUUCAAACGGGCCAUGCCCUCCUUAUCUUCUCUCUUAGGGGUCUCUUGGCUGGCUCAGUUGUCCCACCAUUUCUCUCCUUAUUCCUCAUCCUCACAGACUUUCCCGUCAUGUUGAUGAUGACAUAAUAACCAGCAGACAAAACAUCUUUGUUGAUAGAAGUUUGAGGUCAUUUCAUUACAGCAUCUCCUAAGACAUUCCAUUCAGGGACGUGCCUGCCAGGCUGCUGGAAAUGCCUGCCUUUUAUGGCCUGCUUGGUUUGGUCACUUGUAACUUCUGCACAUGAUAGGCCCUGGGCUCCCUCUACCCUAGGGCAACCCCAUAGAGACCUGAAAAUCCUGUUCACGACUUGCCCCACCCGAAUCUUGUCUUCCCAGCCCCUUGAAUGAGUCCAUGUGUGGCUUGGGCUCUCUCAUCACCGCAGGUUAAACUGCCAUGUAAUUGAUUUUUUUUCCAGGCAAUUGAACACAUAUCAGUAGGCACCUAACUUUUCUCUUUUAACCACUUGGAUUAAGAAAAAUCUUUCCAAAACAUAAUAUAUUCUUCUCUACCUCUUGGAAUAAAUGAAAGCAGACAUAAUGUGCUUUUUCUUGGGGCCUCUACAUAAUAAUAGUUUUUUUGAGCUACUGUAAAGUGUUUUUAAUAACUCAAAUCACUUCAUAAUCACCAUGGGGAGAAAACAGAAAAUACAGAUAUAUAGAAAGGAAAAAGAAGGGCAUCCCUUGAUAUCUUACCAGCUGGAGGCAAUGACUAAUAACUUUUUGUUGUAUAACUUUCUGGGCUUUUUCCUAAGCAAGCACAGUUCCCCAGUUUGGGGUGCAAAUGUAAUCCCUCUUAUUUAUUCAAUAAUUGCUUGAGCUCCCAUACGCCCAUAUUAACAGGAAGUCAUGCCUCUUUACCCCUUCUUACCCCUUAUUCCUCACCCACUCCCCCAAGGAAAUUGGGGCCAAACUUGGUCCUACAGGUAAUUCUGAUUGCAAAUGGCAAUCAGAGAGAAACUGGAGAGUCAGGAGGUCCUGAUUUCCAUUGUUUCUUGCACAGUACCAUGUGUCUCUAAAGAAAAUGGUCUUGCAAAGUCUGAUGAGAUCCUGCCUCACUGGUCCUGACCCUUAUGUGGUCCACAGAGGUGUGCCAACUUUGGGCUCCAAGGCCACUGCUCUUGUAAGCUCAUACUUCCAAGGUUAGCCAGGCUCCCAAAUAGCGCACAGCCCUGGUAGAGCUGAGCCCAGGAGGGCUUCUGUCCUCAGCCACACUCCAUGCCACAGGAAUAUGGAGGCCCUGGGGUUGAGCCUGGUCACCAACUCUGACCCCCUUUCUUCCUGGUGCCAUUCCCUUGAGGGGCUGUGGGGAUUCUAUUCCUGGGGCACUUCAUCUCAAACUUCAUCAGGAAAAUUCCAACUUUAACACGGCAAACGUCUUUGUCUUCAUCUCUUUCUUCCCAGAUGUUCCUUGGCCCCAAGCAAAUUAUCUCCCUGCUCUUCCAUGUAGGGACUAGAGGGUCCUGCACUCCUCAGGCCACCCAGGAACCAGUUCCCCCUUGCCCCACUAGCCUAACAUGUGAAUAGCCAAGAGGGACCACUCAAAGGACAGUUUCCUGAACAAAGAAGACCUGUUCUUAACCAGCUGGAUAAAGAAGGAGCUGAUGGCAACUUUUAUUAAAAAGAAAGAAAAGUUCCGAACCAGGAAACUUGCCAUACACCCAUUCGCCAGAUGACAACAUUGAGAUUACUCACUUCUUGAAAGAGCCCAGCCUCUAGCACUGGACAUUUAUCACAAAGCAUUUCCUUCUUGCGUUGGGCAUUCCUCUCUUGCUAGGAGGAACUGAGACUUCCCGUCCCCAGUCCCAGCCCUGAGGCCAUGCAGCCUAGGGGUGGCUGGAUUGAGCACUGCUUACUGGAUUCAGGCCAGAGACUGCCACAUUUUGUCCUCUGCUGCCUGGGUUAGGGAGACCUCUCCCUGUCAACUCAGGGGCAUGGCAGGAGCGGGGCUGGAACAGUCUCUGCAGUCAGUUCCCUCCUGGACCACCGACGCUGGGAAUGCAAGGGGUGGGUAGUUUGGUCUGUGCUUAUGUGUUGAUAUUGUGAGAUCAUUUGAGAGAAUUAAAUAUAUUUUCCCAGAUGGAAAGAAAAGGAAAAGGAAGGGGAUGUUGAGUGUGGGAGCUGUUCAUUCUUUCCAGCUUCUCUCCUUUCCCGCCAUCCCACCCCACCUGUGGACCUGUGUUUGGCAUUAGGGCACUCCUCUGUGCUUUGCUGGAUUCUGAUAGGGAGCACAGCCUGGUGUGGGGGGUGGGAGGACGGAUGGUCUGCAUCUUCCCUUCCCCUGCUCCAGUCCUUAGGCCAGUGCUUUCUGCACUGGGGGGUCAGGGGACAUUGAAGGUGCCAGUCCAAAUGCCAGUCAACACUGUGGGCAGGCCUGGCCAACACUGUCUGUGGAUGCCAGACUCUGGGAAGAGAAGCACCCACGCUCAGAGAUGGCCCACUCUCACUGGGCUCACAGCCAAACACACCCAGUUUUCUGGCCUCGGGCUGGGUGGGACAAGUGUAUAUCUCACCUGACAAGCCCUGUGAGCCUGACAAAUGGAGGGAAAAAGCCACGACAGCAGCACCUCCCAGUGAUCCGGAAGCUGGAGGAGGAGCAAGAGGACACAGGGUCUCUCCAAAAGGCAGAAGUGCGGGGGAGUGGCCUGGACAUUGUAGAGCUGGGACAGCCAAGUCCCAGGGCAAGGGCACCAGGGGACAUGGAGGAGUCCUUCCCUUGGGCCUCUCCAGAGAGGCUGCCUGGAGUUUUCACAGUUCACAAAUGAGCAGAGGAAAUUGUCCAUGCGAACAGCCCUUAGGGGAUCUCCCAGAGAGGUGUCUCGGGUGCUAGGGGAAGCCCAAACACCCCACUUCAGUUUUCACGUAGGAGGAGGAGAAGGCAAUGACUUGUCUUGAAGCAGCCGCUGCCCAGCAAGCACACGAUUUUUAUUUAAAUUGAAGGUUUAUUUGGAGUGGGCUUGGGGGAGUACUUCUCAUGCACACACUUUUUCUGUCUCCUCAUUUCCCCAGCCCAAUCCUCCCCACAUUCCUCUGCCUUCCCGCCUCCCAUUUUAUUAGGUGUCAGUUGUCUGCUCCAAACCUUCAGUAGCUCCCAUUUGUGAUAAGGUGAAGUCCAAAUCCCAUAGCCUGCAUUCAAGUUCUUCCACGGUUAGGGUGGACAUACACCCCACUUUGUUUUGGAUGAUCUAGUUUAUAUCUGCUGUCUUGGCAUAAUAAUUCAUAGCACCCUGCUUCAUGCAAAAAUGUAUCCCAGUUUGGAGAAUAAAUGAUGUGGUCCACCCGUGUACAGUCCACUCCCAACCUCAUGCUCCAGGCUAAUGGCCAACUGUCUCUCUUGAAUCCUCUGAGUCAGUGGUUUUGAACUCUGGUUGCUCAUUAGAAUCACCUGGGGAGCUUUUAAUAAAUAUCACUACUUAGACUCACCCCCAAAACAGGUCAAAUAAAACAGAAUCUCUAGGGGCAGGACCCAGCCUUUGGUAUUUUUUUAAGCAUCCAGAUGACUCUGAUGUGCAGCCAGGGUGGAGAACAACUGACCUCAGUAAAACAGGUGUCCUGGAACUCUGUCCCUGAGCCCAUCUUACACAUUUCUGUCCCUAGUUUUUGGUAACUUGCUCCCAUUGUCUAUCCGCCAUUUAACUCUUUCUUUUCCUCUGUGUGUGGUCUUUCAUUCAUUCUUUAAGUCCUACCCAAGCUGCUAAGCCUAGCUCCAAUGCUGCCUCCUCCUACAUCUUUCCUGACCUCUUAGCCAGAAAGGGUCUUCCUCUCUACCCACUACUGCCCCCUCCCUCCCCCACUAUUGAAUGUCAUCUAUGAUCCACGCCCUGUUUUGCCUUCUUCACAGUCUAUGAGCUCCAUGGCAUGGGUCAUGUCUGAUUAAUCUCUGGAGACCCCAGGGCCCAGACCCAACUUACAGUAAAGCCUCUCACACCUGAGUGAGUGACUAUCACUGCUGGUCCUGAACUUGGGCAGCGUCAUCCACCCCGACACGGGGCACCAGCACAUGCUGCCUCUACAAGUUAAGUUUCUUUUCCUGUGUGCGGGCUUUCAUUCAUUCAUUCACUCACUCAUUCUGCUUUGUGCCAGGCGCUGUGUUCUCCAUCACCUCUUCUUGAUUUCCUGUACUAUUGGAGAACUGUCCUUUCUCUCUCAUGUCCAUCCCCUGGACAGCCCUGCAGACUGUCUUGCAUAUAAACGGUACUCAGUAUUGAUUGAUAAUCAACUGACGAAUAGAUAAACAAAAGUGGUGUGUCCUUACAAUGAAAUAUUAUUCAGCCAUGAAAAGGAAAUGAAGUACUGAUACAUGCUACAAUAUGAAUAACCCUAAAAACAUUAUUCUAAGUGAAAGAAGCCAGGAACAAAAGACCACAUAAACUGUAUGCUAUCAUUUACAUGCAAAGUACAGAAUAGACAAAUCCAUAGAGACAAAAAGUAGAUUAGUGGUUGCCAAGGGCUAGAAGAAGGGGGAAAUUAAGAUUAACUUUUGUUUUGUUUUGAGACAGAGUCUUGCUCUGUCGCCCAGGCUGGAGUGCAGUGGCCUGAUCUUGGAUCACUGCAACCUCCGCCUCCCAGGUUCAAGCAAUUCUCCUGCCUCAGCCCCCUGAGUAGCUGGGAUUACAGGUGUGUGCCACCAUGCCUGGCUAAUUUUUUUUUUUUUUUUGUAUUUUUAGUAAAGACAGGGUUUCGCCAUGUUGGUCAGGCUGGUCUCAAACUCCUGACCUCAAGUGAUCCGCCCACCUCAGCCUCCCAAAUUGUUGGGAUUAUAGGCGUGAGCCACAGCUCCUGGCCAGGACUAGCUGUUAAUA